UAUUGACAAAGGCAAAUCCAUUGAAAAAUGGUGGCGCAAAACUAUAGGAGCUAACGCGAUUUCGCUAUGCUAGCCAGUUACCGAU
rnacentral:ncRNA from 1 species